rnacentral:rRNA from 1 species
CCUACGGGAGGCAGCAGUGAGGAAUAUUGGUCAAUGGGCUUACGCCUGAACCAGCCAAGUCGCGUGAGGGAAGACUGCCCUAUGGGUUGUAAACCUCUUUUGUCAGGGAGCAACGCCGGCUACGUGUAGCCGGACUGAGAGUACCUGAAGAAAAAGCAUCGGCUAACUCCGUGCCAGCAGCCGCGGGAAUACGGAGGAUUCCAGCGUUAUCCGGAUUUAUUGGGUUUAAAGGGUGCGUAGGCGGGAUGCCAAGUCAGAGGUAAAAUCCGGGGGCCUAACCUCGCCACGGCGUUUGAAAUGGGCGUGCUUGAGAGGACGAGAGGUAUGCGGAAUGCGUGGUGUAGCGGUGAAAUGCAUAGAGAUCACGCAGAACUCCGAUUGCGAAGGCAGCAUACCGGGGCCCAACUGACGCUGAGGCACGAAAGCGUGGGUAUCAAACAGGAUUAGAUACCCGAGUAGUC